rnacentral:rRNA from 11 species
GCAUGUGGUGGAUGCCUUGGCAGUCAGAGGCGAUGAAAGACGUGACAGCCUGCGAUAAGCUUCGGGGAGGCGGCAAUAUCCUGUGAUCCGGAGAUUUCUGAAUGGGGAAACCCACUUACCAUAAGGUAGGUAUCUUGUACUUGUACAAGAAGCGAACGAGGGGAAGUGAAACAUCUCAGUACCCUUAGGAAAAGAAAUCAAUUGAGAUUCCCUCAGUAGCGGCGA